CCUACGGGUGGCUGCAGUGGGGGAUAUUGCACAAUGGGGGAAACCCUGAUGCAGCGACGCCGCGUGUGGGAAGACGGUCCUCUGGAUUGUAAACCACUGUCCCCAGGGACGAUGAUGACGGUACUCUAAGAAUAAGCACCGGCUAACUACGUGCCAGCAGCCGCGGUAAUACGUAGGGUGCGAGCGUUAAUCGGAAUUACUGGGCGUAAAGGGUGUGCAGGCGGUUUUGCAAGAUGGAUGUGAAAGCCCCGGGCUUAACCUGGGAAAGCCAUACAUGACUGGAAGACUAGAGUGCGUCAGAGGGAGGUGGAAUUCCUAGUGUAGCAGUGAAAUGCGUAGAUAUUUGGAAGAACACCGAUGGCGAAGGCAGCCUCCUGGGACGCAACUGACGCUCAUACACGAAAGCGUGGGGAGCAAACAGGAUUAGAUACCCGAGUAGUC
rnacentral:rRNA from 1 species